rnacentral:rRNA from 1 species
UACGGGGGGGGCAAGCGUUGUUCGGAAUUACUGGGCGUAAAGGGCGCGUAGGCGGCCUGUUAAGUCGAACGUGAAAUCCCCGGGCUCAACCCGGGAACUGCGUCCGAUACUGGCAGGCUUGAAUUCGGGAGAGGGAUGUGGAAUUCCAGGUGUAGCGGUGAAAUGCGCAGGAUAUCAGGAGGAACACCGGUGGCGAAGGCGGGUCUCUGGGCCG